AUGGGGUGCAGCAGGCGCGAAACCUCCGCAAUGCGGGCAACCGCGACGGGGGGACCCCCAGUGCCGUGGCACAGCCACGGCUUUUCCGGAGUGUAAAAAGCUCCGGGAAUAAGGGCUGGGCAAGGCCGGUGGCAGCCGCCGCGGUAAUACCGGCGGCCCAAGUGGUGGCCGCUAUUAUUGGGCCUAAAGCGUCCGUAGCCGGGCCCGUAAGUCCCUGGCGAAAUCCCACGGCUCAACCGUGGGGCUUGCUGGGGAUACUGCGGGCCUUGGGACCGGGAGAGGCCGGGGGUACCCCUGGGGUAGGGGUGAAAUCCUAUAAUCCCAGGGGGACCGCCAGUGGCGAAGGCGCCCGGCUGGAACGGGUCCGACGGUGAGGGACGAAGGCCAGGGGAGCGAACCGGAUUAGAUACCCGGGUAGUCCUGGCUGUAAAGGAUGCGGGCUAGGUGUCGGGCGAGCUUCGAGCUCGCCCGGUGCCGGAGGGAAGCCGUUAAGCCCGCCGCCUGGGGAGUACGGCCGCAAGGCUGAAACUUAAAGGAAUUGGCGGGGGAGCAC
rnacentral:rRNA from 1 species